UACAGAGGGUGCGAGCGUUGUCCGGAAUCACUGGGCGUAAAGGGCGUGUAGGCGGGAAGGAAAGUCAGAUGUGAAAUCCCUGGGCUCAACCCAGGAACUGCAUUUGAAACUCCCUUUCUUGAGUACCGGAGAGGAAAGUGGAAUUCCUGGUGUAGAGGUGAAAUUCGUAGAUAUCAGGAGGAACACCAGUGGCGAAGGCGGCUUUCUGGACGGUAACUGACGCUGAGACGCGAAAGCGUGGGGAGCAAACAGG
rnacentral:rRNA from 1 species